rnacentral:tRNA from 1 species
GGGUGUGUGGGGUAGUCAGUCCUCUUCGUUUACACCGAAGAUGUCGGCGGUUCGAGCCCGUCAUCGCCCACCA